AUGGGCGAAUCCACCUGCGUCGCUUGCGGUGAAUGCGUCCAGGCGUGUCCCACAGGCGCGCUGAUGCCGUCGGCAUAUUUCGAUGCAAACCAGACCCGCACGGUUUAUCCGGACAAGAAGGUCGAUUCACUCUGUCCGUUCUGCGGCGUCGGUUGCCAGGUGACUUAUGAGGUCAAGGACGAAGAGAUUGUCUAUGCCGAGGGCCGCGAUGGU
rnacentral:misc_RNA from 1 species